UGUCCUAGCGGCGAACGGGUGAGUAACACGUGGGCAACCUGCCCCUACGCUCUGGGAUAACCCCGGGAAACCGGGGCUAAUACCGGAUACGACUUCACAAGGCAUCUCGUGAAGUGGAAAGGGUUUACUGGCUAGGGAUGGGCCCGCGGCCUAUCAGCUUGUUGGUGGGGUAAUGGCCUACCAAGGCGACGACGGGUAGCCGGCCUGAGAGGGCGACCGGCCACACUGGGACUGAGACACGGCCCAG
rnacentral:rRNA from 1 species